AAUUGAUUGAAAAAGUUUAAAUCAAUAGCAGAACGAAUAAGAAGAAUCAAGUAGGCAGAAAGAUAAAAGUUUCUCCAUUCUAAGAAGAAGGGAGAGUACCUUUUAUGCUUUAUGAUAGGUCUUAAUGAUUAAGAACCAUAUCUCAAUUGAUCCUCUAAGUGAGUCUUAGUACAAUUGUAUGUCUAAGAAGAGGAAUCAAGAAUUGAAGAAAUGGUUAAAUCAAGAAGUCAAUCAUACUUCGUUCCAAAACAAGUCUUAGAGUUAAGAUUGUGAAAUUGAGUGAAAAGUAUUAAGAAGGUUUAUAACAUUCAUCAAAUGUGGAAAGUUGUGAUGUCUUGGAUAAGACAAAGACCAACUAGGACCAAUUUAUGAAGUGUUUUGAUAAAAGCUACACUAACUCUUGAAUAUUUGUUUGUCAAGAAAUGGUUAUUGACAAGAGAAUCUUAUAUGUCAAGGAGUCAGUGGGAGUCUUAAUGGUCUUGAAAGGUUUCAAGAACAAAUCAAAUAAACCUUAUCGAUCAUCACUAGCACACGAGUUGAGGUUUACAACCUAUCGUGUUGACAUUAUUUUGUUUCUGUGCCAUUCCAAUUGAGUUAAUUAUGCAUGUGAGUUCUAUGAGUUCUCAUUUGAAUGCAUAAAAGGCAAGCACCUUGAUCAAUGAAAAGUACAUUGAUAGGAAAGGGUGAGCUGCUUAACUACUUGGAAGACAUGGUGGGCAGCUGUGCUACCAUAAGGCAAGAAAUCAAGAUUAAGAAAGUUCGGUCCAUAUGAGUUUGAAUUUGUCGUAAACUUUGGUUUUAACAAAUUCACAUGGAUAGGAACACAUACACCAUUAAAAUCUAAGUGUCAUAAGAUUUCCUCCUUCAUGAAAAUGAUUGUGAGGAAAUGCUUUCACUAAGAAAGAUUUUAAGAAGAUAGUGAUUGUAAAAUUGUAUUCUCGAAUUCGAUUAUGGUUACGGUAUCCCUUUCCAUGAUUCGAAUUGUGAGAUUUGGCAAUUAGUCUGAAUUGUUUAGACACACAUAUGAGCUAUCUAAGGGAAAGGUGUAUAAGCUUAGAUAAAGGAUUAUCAAAGCAUUAGGUAUUAGAAACAUGAACUUAAGAAAUUCAAUAAGUAUUGUUUUUCUGGAAGUUAAGUUGUUUUCUGAAUACAUGUCAAAGCUAGUGGGAGCAUAAGUGUUAUGCUUAUAUGAUAAUAAUCAUCAUGAUAGUGGGAGCAUAAAUGUUGUGCUUGUAUGAUUAUUAAGGCAAGUAUUGCAAGUUAGCAAUAUUAAUUAUAGAAAACAAGAGUUAUACUUUGCAAAGUCAUAAGGGUUGAAUAGUUGUUUUGCUAUAAUUAAGGGAGAGAAUAUUAUGCUUCAUUUCAAAUCUAAAGGCUUAGGUUGUGGAAUGUUAAUAAAUUUAGUCAAGGAUACAUAGUGUGUUCUUAAAUUUCGAUUAUGAUUACGACAUUCCUCUUCACAAUUCGAAUUUUGAGAACAUAGCAAAUAAAAUAUUAUGGCAGAAGAUUGAUAAAGUAUCAAAUCUUUAUGUAAGACAUUAUGCAUCGUGUCCCAUACGCUUUGGGUAUAGGAUCGAUUGCAAAUGCUAUAAUAUUUGACCAUUCUAAAAUUUUCCAAAUGUCUAGCGCAUUUAGAGGGAAAAAGGACUAGAAUCGGUUUUGACUAAAAUAAUUAAACAACUAUCAAAGGACGAUCCAAAGUUCGCUGAGGAUUGGUCGCUUGUGAGUAGUUGGAAGUAUGAUAUUGGAUGGACCAUAUCGACAUUAUUAUGAAUAGAUAAGAUUCUAUUAAGAAUGAGUUGUCAUAUGGUAAGUAUGGAAAGGUUUCCAUAUUGGGAAUUGAAUAUUAAGAAUCUAUGUCUAGAUUAGAAACUUUUAUGCAAAAGGAUGUUCAAAGGAAUGUACUUUGAGUGAGAGACAUCACAUCUAUGGAAUUGUCUUGUAACACUCUCCGAUAGAGGACUUUGUAACUUCAUUGGCAAUAGUCAUUGUGACUUUAGUGCAGUGACACUACGAAAGGAUCAUUCAAUAAAAUGUUAGAAUCUAACAUAUUUUAUAAGUAGCAUGAAUUUGAUAUUCUUUCACUUAUGAUAAAGGAUUAGGAGUUGUGAAAUGAGUAUGAUUGGAAAUAUGUUUAUUUGAUCUAUUUCACAAAGUAAGAUCCGUAGGUAAACAUUGUGUGCAUACUAAGAGCAUGGGACAAGUGUUGUAAUUCAAGUAAGAAGUUGAUUACCCGAAAUGACAAAUAAUGAGUAAUCAAUAUGGUGAUAAACAAAAGGUGUUUCAUUUAUACUCAAAGGUUUGAGGCCAUAUGGGAUUAGUAUUAUUCUUGUGUUUCACAUUUACAUGUUUUGACUUCCAGAAUAAUUGAGUUUAUUAAGAAUAGUCGAAUUAUUCAAACGGGCCACAGUCGUUCAUAUGUUGGAAGUAGAUAUGAAUGAAGACUGUCGUGAAUUGGUGUGUGGAUUGUCUAAAAGAGUAUUAGACAUAAGCAAAUGUUUGCUGCAACGUUCAUGAGUGCUUAUGAAUAUGAUUUGAGCAUUGGAUUAAACCCACGCUCACUUGGAUCACUCCAUGAAUUGUAUCACGAGUGAUUGGUGAGACGAUAACAUCUUAUAUUCUUGAAACCGAGAUGUGUGAGUUGUAUCUUGCAAAUCGAUUGCACAUUGAUAAUAUGUAAACGCACCAGUAACUUGGUGUUAUAAAACAUAUUGUUGUGUGUGAUUCCGUGAGUGAGUGCAAGAAAGCAUUGUAUCAAAGUUUAUCCGUUCCUUUUAUCCAAAGUAGGAUAAAAGCGAUAUCUUUGGGCCCCUCGAUGAUUUAGUGAUGACAAACGUAAAUGCUCGGCCGGGCUAGGGCUAAUUUGAUUUGUUCAAUUAGUCAGUCGUCAUAAAUCGGGAAUCGAGAUAUAGUACAAAGAGAAUGAUUUGAAAUCAUAUCUCAUAUGAUAUCUAGAAUGGAGGAAUAUAUGAUCCCUUAUCUAAGGACACGCGUAUCUGAUAGGAUCAGAGUUGACAGCGGCUUUGGAAAGCUACGAUUGCAGAUCAGGAUCUGAAGUCAUACGCAGAAUAGUUAUUAGACUUAUCCAAGUGGGAGACUGUUGGAUUAGUGUCUAAGUCCAUAACUAUUUUGGUAUGUACUUGACCCGAUGGUGCAUGGUCCUUUUGGGUUGCCUUCACCAAAGCAACUUGAUUGGAGAAAUAAAUAGAGAGAGAGGUUAUUAUGAUUUAUUAAUAUGUUAUAAGAAUAAUAUAUUAAAGGAGAAAUCAUAUUUGUUUAAUUAAUAUUGGUCAAUAAUUAAUUAAGAAUUAAUUUUGUGAUCAAAUGUAAUUAAUUAAACUAGAGGGGCUGAAUUGUAAUUAUGUGAUAGUUACAAAAUAAGGUAAGGAUUAUCUUAUUAAUAGGUUGGACGAAUUUAAGGUGAUAAGGCCUUAGAAUUCGACUAUGAUAAGGAUUCAAGGAUUAUCUUAUGGGUUGCUUGGUGGACAAGCAACUAGAUAAGGAUAAUGACUGAAACCCUAUCUCUACACCUAUAUAAACACCCCUUGACUCAUGAAUUCGGCCAGACCUUCCCUAAGGCUUCUUAGGAACAAAUUCAAUACCUCCCCUCUCUGCUUAUACCCUCUCCAUUUGCUCUUGGUGUUUGUAAGCCAUUAGAGGAGUGACACUUGUGAUUCUAAGCCUUCCAAAGUCAAUUCAAGGAGGAAUUGGGGUUGUUAUUGCUACAUAACAAUCAAGGUAAUAUCUUAAACCUAAUUAUAUGUUAAUAACGAUUUCCAUAUGCUAGAAUUAGGGUUUAUAGUCUUGGAUUCAAAGCAUGUACAAUAGAGAAACCUAGAUCCAAGCAUUAGGGUUUGUAUGAGCACAUAGGAUGUCUUAUGACCAAAACACAUCAAUUAUAAGCCUUGCAUGCACAUACAGUUUGCAACUUUAUGUGAUAAACAUGCCUUGGGAAGCUGGACUCGGUGAGUUGCAUGGCCAACUCGGCAAGUCCAAUUAAGAUUGUCAUAUAAGGACUUCUGCAUGGACUCGGCGAUUCGGUGGGGUGACUCGGCGAGUCAACUAGGGUUUUCCUAACUUUCGGACACGCUUGAACUCAGCGAGUUGUUGGAAACUCGACGAGUCAGUGACUGCACUCGACGAGUCGGGUCAACAUGGACUGUUGACCUUGACCGUUGACUUUGACCUUGGCCAAGGGUUGGCUAAUUGACUUCUAGGGUAUUUUGGUAAAUGGGAAAUUUAUGAGUAUGGUUUUAUGGUAAAUAUAGGUGGUGGAGUUUGUGGUGGUGAUCCAAGAGUUUGAGCUUAUCUUUCGAGUCGACAGUUGCGAGAUGAGUUAUUCUCACUAUAUCAAUAUGGUCUAAGGCAAUAAUGUCGGCCCAUCUGAUUGUAUAUGGGUUUGUUUCAUGAUAUGCUUAUUAAUUUACAUCCUAGUAGUUAGGAUGGUUAUAUGCUAUAUUAGUGAUCGGUUAGGUAUGUAUCCUGGUAAUAGGAUGUUGCUAUGAUUAGUGAUCAGUUAAAUCGGUUUGACUGUUAUGUAUGCUAGCGUAUGAUAUAUAUGAUAUGUAUGAUAUGUGCACAUGUUUGUUGAUUGGGGGUUGGGUUGAGGCAAUCCUUCUUUGUGCUGAAGGCCAACAUACCCAGGGCGCUUCGAAUAUAUUGAAGGUCCUGCAAAAAGGUUCAGUUAGGCCGAAGGCCUAACGAGCGGUCUGAAUAGGCUGUAGGCCCUGCGAGGUGGUGCAGACGUGCCAAAGGCUCGGAGAGCGGUCCAUAUAGGCUGAAGGCCUGCAAGGAGGUCCAAUCAGUUUGAAGGCUCAUUAUGCAUGUUGUUUACCUAUAUGUUUAUAUGAUAUGGUUAUGACUGUGUGGCGUUGGAAUUUUGGGGGAACUCACUAAGCUCUCAGGCUUACAGUUUCAGUUUAUCGUUUCAGGUACAUCAGGGGACUGUGGCUAGGAAAAGGCGUGAUCAUGCUACUCCUCACUUUUUAUGACUAUGUUUUUGGGAGACUCUGAUAUAGACUAUUUUUAAAACGAAUUUGUAAUGACUGUUUGUUUUAUAUGUUUUAAAAGUUUCAAUUUGGCAUGAUUUUUAUGGGUGUUACAAGUUAGUAGCAGAGCCUUGGUUUGAGUGAAUUGGAGGAAUAUUCAUGUGAAUCCAGUCUCAAAUCAAGAAAAAGAUUCUCAAAGUGGUUUUCAAAAUAUUAACGGAGGAUGCAAGAGUACAAUCAGGCGGAGCUCGCUGAUAGACCCCAAAAUACCUUACGGAUUAUUUGAUUUUGUGAUAUGUUAGAACAGAAUGCUAGUACUUGGCUAGGGAUCUUCAGGAAUUGCAUGAUAGAAUUGCCUGAUUAUACGAUGCCUAAUAGCCUAGGGUUUUCCUUAUAUGAAAUUGACAUCAUUACUGUAGUUACUUAGUGUAUGCAUCACGGUCAUACAUAAUUAAGAUCUUAUAGCCUGAGAAUGUUUGGUUUGGCCUUAUUUCCUGUUCUUGUUUGAUAAAGGGCUUAGGGUAGGAUCAGGUAUUCAAAAGUCUAUAGAGUCUAACGUUAUGUAUGGUUAGCAUACACGAGUGCUACAGGGUUGGUGGAAGUUUCAUGGAUAUGUGGAUUAUGUGAGGCCGGUAGGUCAGUUGUGAGACAAUUAGCCUUCCUCUAGGAGUGAGGAUUGAGCGACUACCAUGUAUAUGUAUGUUGUUAGGGUGUUUUGAUGAUACUUGAGACAAAUAUGGGUAGGUUUGGAAGGUAGUAUGGGCCCGUACUAAUGAAAGCAUAGGAUCCAUACGUGUAGCAAGAAAGUCACAACCCUUAGGGUUCAGUCGGGAGUUGGUUCCCUGUUAUUUAUGUGGAUUAUCUGAUAUCUUCCAGUUAUAUUUUAAGUAUGGUGCUUACGAGGCAUUUUGUGACUGGAUCCGGAUCGGGAUCAGGGCAGGGAGAUCAGGAGGCCCCGACAGCGCCCGAGGUUAUCAGACAGGAUGGGCCAGCAUUGACAGAGGAUCGUGUUAGGGAGAUCGUCCGUCAUGAGGUGGUCGAGAUUGUCCGCGGUCAGAUUCCGGAGUUGUUUGGGUCUAUAAAGACUGCUAUGAUGGAGUACUUCGAUGAUAGAUACACAGCCCUUGCCGAGAUGGUUGCCGCAACAGCUACAACAGUUGUAACCGCAGCAGGGGGAGGAGUUAGUCGGGCAUUCCAGUACCAGGACUUCGAUAACACGAAGCCCCCUAAUUUUGAUGGGAUUCAGGAUCCCAUCAAGGCCAUGAGGUGGUUAUCUGGUGUGGAGGGGUGUUUCUUCACAUGUUCGAGUCCUACUGACCAGAAGGUCAGAUGUGCCCUGAACCUAUUGAGGUCUGGGGCAAAGGACUGGUAGAGGUUGAUGACUAGGUCUUAUACUGAUGAUCAAAGGUUUGCGGUUACUUGGGAGAAGUUCAUGGAUAUUUUCCGCACACACUAUAUUCAACGAGUUGAGCGAGAACGGUUAGCUCAUGAGUUCUUGGAUCUGAGACAGGGUAUCGAGUCCAUGACAGAGAUCACCCGAAUGUUUACCGAGAGGGCAAUGUUUUGCCCGGAGUUUGCUUUUGAGCAGGCUCAGAUGACGCAUUAUCUGAGCAUCCUGAAGAUCGAUAUCCGUCAGUUUGUUGCAACUCAACGAUGUGAUACUUUGCUAGAGUUAUAGGAGGCCACCAGGCGGCGGGAGCUUGAGAUUGAUUUGCAGCUUCGAGAGUAGACGCAGUCCCCGACACAGUCCCAGCCGGUGCCGAUGUAGUCAAAGACCGUUGAUACUUAGUCUGGAGAGCAGAAGGGCCGCACUUGUGGGAAGUGCGAGAAGGUUCAUUCGGGGGUGUGUCGAUCGGGUAGCGGGUGCCACAAAUGUGGCAAGGAGGGGCAUUAUGCGAGGGACUACCGCCAGAACGCCCCUGCUCCGGAUAUGAGGAUAUGUUAUCACUAUCAUCAGGUUGGUCAUAUGAAGACCAACUGUCUAUAGCUCGCUGCUAGGUCGGCGCAGGCUCUAGCACUGGCUACAUUGAGGAUUCCCGAUGGGAGGCAGGGUAGAGCAGAGCCCCCGACAGCUCAGGGGUGCGCAUUCUAGCUUAUAGUUGAGGAGGCCAGAGCAGCACCAGAUGUGGUUGCUAGUAUGUUUCUAUUCCUUAUCUUAUUUCUUAUAUCUGUUUUAUACUUACCUGUGAUUAGGUACGUUUUUAGUAAACUCCUUUCCUGCAUUGGUUUUAUUUGACCCGGGGACGAGUCGGUCGUUUGUAUCUCAUACAUUUAUUAGGGAGUUCAGUGUGCCAGUAGGAGAGUUAGAGUGUCCGUUGCGAGUCUCUAUCGCCAACGAACACCGGGUUUCUGCUUCUUCAGUCUACCAAGGAUGUGAGUUGGAGAUCUUUGGGGUGUCUUUCCCGAUCGAUUUGAUUCCGAUCCCCAUGGGGGAUGUGUGUGUGAUUGUGGUUAUGGACUUGCUUAGUCGAUUCGGUGUUAUGAUCGACUACGAGGGUUAGCGAGUGGUGGUUCGGACCCCAAGUGGGGGAAAAUUGAUCGUCUAAGGCGAGGGUACCAAGCAAGGAUUAGGCUUUUCUUCUGCUGUCAGGCUCGACAGUAUAUCCAGCACGAGUGUGCGGGUUAUCUAGCGUACGUGGUGGAUAUGCCGGACAGAGAUCAAAUUUCAGUAUCAGAGGUUCCAAUGUGUAACAUACACGUUUUGAAAUCGUGUUUUGUAAUGAAUAAAAUUGUGAAAUACUAUGUGAAAUUGAGUGUUGAGUUCUAACAGAUGGUUUUUACUAUAAGUGAAGUAAAACUAUGUUUAGAAUCACUCAUAAAAUAUUGGAAGUCAUAUGAGAUUCCAAUUAAAAGCCAAAUAGUGAAAUAUAGCGAAAAUAUAAAAUUUGAAAUAAGUAAAAUUUUAUUAUUGAAAGUGGUAUAUAAUCUCGUUAAAAACAUUUAGGCGAAAACCUCGUCGAAAUCCAAGUUAUAACGAAGAAGUUAUGACCAAUCAAAGAUUCGCGACAAAACCGGCACGACGCCGAAUGACGUAAAAAGUGAGUUUUUGAUAAACUACUUUUUAGCCUUAGUGAUCUAAAUGAAAGUCAUAGUAUUCGUUAAACCGAGAAGUUCGAUAAAAAGAACGUCAAAAUCUGACUUCGUAUGAGGAAGUUAUGAUUUUUCUAAGUUUUAGAGUAGCAGUAGACAGCUAAAAACGCGAAUUUUAGAUCGAGCGAUAUUCAACUGAUACAACCUAAACGAGAAUUGAAGAUCUCGUCAUUUGUAGUACAACGGUAAAAAGUCUGACAAAAACGGACGUCGGAUGAAGAAGUUAUGAAUUUUUAACGGAUUUUCUUGUCACGGUCUGUUAAAAAUAUAAUAAUAAAAAUAAAUCCAAAAUUAGCCGACGGAAUCUAAACGAAAGUUGUAUAUUAUAUUAUCACCUACACGUGCAUAUAAAUAACGUCAAAAACGGAGUUCAUAUGUGAAAGAUAUGAAUUUUUGAAUUUAUUAAAUAAUAAUAAAUGAAAAACGGAAGUAUUAUCCGAAGCCGUAUUCCCCGCGUACGUGAGAGUUACGCCCAGCGUACUUCGCACGUAAAAGGUCCGGAGUCAGCCACGUCUACCUAUCUUCGCAUGAUUGCCACGUAGAAGCCCGAGUUCCGAGCUGCUGCCACGCCUCGUACGCCCAGCGUACUCCGAGGCUUCGGCCAGCUAUAAAAGGGACGCGAGACAGCCCAGUUUUGUUUGGAAACUUUCACUCUUUUACACCAUAUACCAGUGUUCUAAAAGGCGCGCCAUGGCAUGAGGCGCGGCGUCGCCGUUACAAAAAGCUUCAUAACGUUGCUGUUAGGCGUGGCGCGUGGCAAGGCCUGAUAUGGCGUGCUAUGGCGUGUUAUGGCGUGUUAUGGCGCGUGUUUUUUCGUUUGAGACGCGUUUUUGUGCUCUUUUUUAUACCUUUUCUAAUCGGACAUACAAGUAUUGUGUUUUUUAUUAACUUUCUAUUAUUAGUUGUUGAUAUAACACUUCUAAAAACUAGGUAUAUUUGAUAUAAAUUUAUAUUUAUGCGGUAAUAUAAUUAUAAAUUAAUACAAAAUCGCCGCCUUACAUCACUCCUUGAAAAAAUCCAUGGCUCGCCAUAACUCGUUAAGCUUGAGGCUUGGCCUUGUCGCCACGCCACGCCUCUCGCCUUUUAGAACCUUGCCAUAUACUCUAUAUUUAGCCCACUUUUAACCCCUCGAAGUCCCGUUAUCAAUCCCGACACCCGAAGCAAGUCCCAGCGCCCCGAAGAUCCCGAGAAAAUUAUAUUUUAAGUCGAAACUCUGCCCGAGUAAAGUCCGGUUUUCAACUAAAAACCCCGGUUUCGCCCCAGAAAGUCAUAUUUGGAGCCGAAGUACUGUCCAAAUUAUUAUUUUAACCCCGGUUAUUUCAAGAUGAGUUCAAUAUAUAGGAACAAUUGUAUGUUAUGUGUUAUAUGUGCUAUGUGCUUUUCAGUGUUAUUAUUCCGAGUUAUUUUCCCGUGUUAUUUUAUUUGCUAUUUUUAUAGCAAGUGUAAUACCUUUGACCAUGUGAUCAGUGAAAGGACAUAGAUUCACAUUGGUACUAGUACGUAGCCUCUGGCCAUGUAGAGCAUGUCCUUGUAAGAGAAUGACUUCUAUUCUAUGGCAUUGGCAAAUGGUUAGACAGGACUAUAAGCCUGAAAUCUAACAAGAUGUUAAUCAUAAAUCUUAUGUCUUCUGUGCCAUUUGGGUCGAAGCUUUAUUGAUGUUUAUCAAGUAUUUAUGUCUCAUUGAUUGUAUAUCUUUGAAUCAAGUCAUUGAUUGAUAUGAAAAGCUUGUCACAUAAAUGUUGGAUUAGUGUCUAAGUCCAUAACUAUUUUGGUAUGUACUUGACCCGAUGGUGCAUGGUCCUUUUGGGUUGCUUUCACCAAAACAACUUGAUAGGAUGAAUAAUGAAGAGAAAGGAUUAAAUAUGAUUUAUUAAUAUAUUAUGAGAAUAAUAUAUUAAAGGAGAAAUCAUAUUGUUUAAUUAAUAUUAGUCAAGAAUUAAUAAGAAUUAAGUUUGUGACUAAAAGAGAUUAAUUAAACUUAAGGGACUAGAAUUGUAAUUAUAAGAUAAUUGCAAUUGGGCCAUGGAUUGCCUUAUAUUAUAAGGUUGGACGAAUUCUAUGGGGAAACCCAUUAGAAAUCGUCCAAGGCCUUUAAGGAAAGGAGUCCAUGGGUUGCUUAGGGCUUAAGCAUCCAAAUUAGGGUUUCCUUGUUAGAUAACCCUAAUAGCCUCACUAUUUAAAGAGCCCUUAUGCCCUAAAAACAUGGACAAGCUUCCUUCUAGGGUUGCCAUACGUUUUGGGCAGCCUCCUUCUCUUCUCCUCUUCAUCCUCUUGCUCUUGGUGUUUAUGAACCAUUAGAGGAGUGACAUUUGUGACUCUAAGCUUUCUAAAGUCAAUACAAGAAGGAUUUGGGAUUGUUAUUGCUAUAUAACAAUCAAGGUAAUAUCUUAAACCCAUUCUUAUGUUAAUAUGAUUACUUGUAUGCUAGAAUUAGGGUUUAUAGUCUUGGAUAACUUGCAUGUACAAUAGAGAAACCUAGAUCCAAGCAUUAGGGUUUGUAUGAGCACAUAGGAUGUUCUUAUGACCAAAACCCAUCAGUGGUAUCAGAGCCUUGAUUGGUUUCUAUUGUAUUGAUGCCUUGUAUGUUUGUUCAAGUUGAAAAAUUCGAUUUUUGUGAAACUGCCUGAUGAACUCGGCGAGUCCCAUUGUGGACUCGGCGAGUAGGCCCCUACUCGGCGAGUCCAUAUGGGUACUCGGCGAGUUCGAGCGUCAGAAAGAGGGGAUUUCGGGAUUUCUUGCUGUUUUUCUCAUGGAUACUUGCCUUAUCUGUUUUAGAUCAUUAAAAUACGAUUUUAAUCAUAUUUUUGAGUAUAUCCUUGAUUAAACAAAAGAUAAUUACCAAUUGAUUAGAUAAUAACUUCCUUAUAUGAUUAAAGUUGAUUAUUUGUAUUAAUUGGGUAACUUAUUUUGCAAGAAAUUGAAAUUAGGUCAAAUAUAGAUAAUGAUAAAAUUAAUUGUUUAAUUUAUAUUAUUUGUUAUUUGAUCCUUGUGUUAUGAAAAGUUUCAAUUUUCCCCUUUAGGUUUUAUAGUUUAAAUUUGAACUCAAAAGUUUUGUUUUGAAAUUUAAAUAGUUGAAACCCUAAUGUUUUGAAAAGGUUUCAAAACUUGCCCUCAAGUUUUGGAAUUUAAAUUUUGAUUAAAAGUUUAAUUUUGAUGUAUAUUUAAAUUCUAAACCCUAAUGUUUUGAAAUGUUUCAAAACUUGCCCUCAAGUUUUGGAAUUUAAAAGUUGAUUAAAAGUUUAAUUUAGGAAUGUUAAAUUCUAAAACCCUAGUAUUGUUUUGAAAAGUUCAAAUCACACCCUUAUGGUUUUAUUAAUUAAUUAAGGUGUAUAAUUAAAAGAGGUUUAAUAAAUCCAUAAAAGUUUAGGUUUACAAUUUAAUUGAAUUAAAAGUAUAAUUGUUAAAUUUGACCACCUAGUAUUUUAAAAGUGUAAAAUACACCCUAUACUAUAUAUAACAUUAAAAGUCUAACAUUAUAUAUAUGUAUGAGUAAAAGUCAGUCUUACCGUUAGUAGGCCUCAUUCACGAAGCUGGUCUAUAAGGGGUGUUUAAGGAAAUUGCCUAUAAAAUGGCGAUUGAAUGGGUAUCCACUCUUACCCACCGCACUCUUGACUAGUGGAGGGUCGUUAGCCGAACGGGUAGGAUAGGACAAAACCUUCCAUUAUAAGUAUAAUGAAGUACAAAAGUAACUAAAUGUUUUACAAAUUCCCAAUCUUAGUUACUUAGGCAAAAGUGAAUUGAUGCAAUUCCAUGAAAUUACACUUUGUGCCCUUGCGAAGACGUUAGUGGAGCGUGUGUGGUUUACCGGCACACUAAAUGGUUCUAAGCAAAGGUAGCAAAGGGUGACUCAAUGUUUGUCAUAGUUCGGUGGAGCGUGUGUGGUUUACCGGCACAUCGAAUAGGUGACUGUAACAUGUGAGGGCACCAUGUAAGUUUGCAUGGUUAUUCACACCCGCUUUGUGAUCCUCGGCAUCCCAGUCACAAACAAGAGGGGCAUAUCGAGAUUUAAACAUGCCAUUGAAAGUUCAAUGAAUCUCAAAGGAUCUAGGAGUUUUCAUAGAUUUAAAACUUAAAUUUCAUUUUCGUUUUUAAUGGUGGAAAUUAGUGAAUCGUCAUUCACUUACCUUCAAAUAUUUUGCAACUAGAUUACGACAUCCUUUUUCUAGGUUGUAGCAUAUUGUGUUGGGUCCUAGCCUUAGUAUCUCAUUUGGGUGAUUUACUAAGGACUUAAUCAAUCAACUAACUUGAAUUCGUUUUCUCCCGUUUUGUAGAUGUCAAAGUUCGACAACUAUGGUCUUCCCAAAUCCCGUGGAACAAGCAUUCCACAUGAAGAUGAUAUUCCACGAUUCGAUCGAGGAACAAGAAAUCAUGCUUCACUUCCUCCACCUCCUCCAAUUAUUCUCCCUAAACCACAAGUUCGAAGGCUUGAAAAGUUCAAGCUCACUCAAGCCCUUUUGGCAAGUAAACAUAAAGAAGGAAAGUCGGUGUGUGCACACGUCCUAGGGAUGAAGUCGCACAUUGAUAGGUUAAGAAUGUUGGGAUCCGUUGUCUGUGAGGAGAUGGCUAUUGAUUGGGUUCUUCAGUCACUUCCUAACUCAUAUAGUGAGUUCGUAAGAGAGUACUAUAUGAUGAACNACGUGACCCUUAUAGAUCUCACUUAUAUGCUUAUUGCUGCUGAAUCAACAAUAGUAUGGCGCAAUGGAGAAGCAAAGUUGAUUGGUGAAUCUGCCUUCCAGACCUCUAUGGAUAUAGGCAUUAGCAACGAAAAACAUGCCAUGAUCGAAGAGUUUGAUCACAAGAGAAAGGCAAUGUCUGAAAUAGUUCCAUCUGCUGUUCCAAAAGAGUCAAUUUGCUUUUAUUGCUAAGAAAAGGGGCAUUGGAGACAAAGUUUCCCUAUUUACCUAAGAGAUCUAAGAGAUGGGAGAGUCAAAACAUAUGGCUCUGCUUUAGGUAAAAUCCAUUGAUUAACCCUUUUAAGCUUCUAUUCUAGAUUCUUAAUACAUAAUGUGAUAAGAUUACAAUUGAUGUUUUGUAGGAUCGAAGAAAAGAAAGGAAGCUUAAGGGAAGAAGUGAGCAGAAUCUAACCGUGAAGGAAUGGAUUUCGAUCGCAUUACUUGAAGAUUAGAUUCUUGAGCUACUACUUAGAGUUAGAAUAAGAUUGCUAAGAAAGAUGUAUUAGCAUAGUUUUUCAAUGAAUUGCAUUGUAAGGACAAAAUUUUUCCGCAAUAAAAUAAAUUUUGAUUUUAUAUUAUUUAUUUAUCUUUACAAUGGCGUGUAUGAAAAAUUGGUGUUAGAAUGUUUAUAUUAUUAGCAAUAAUGGAUUUUUUUCUUAAUUAUGUUAUUUGUGGAAAUGUCGAAAAUUUACCGAAUAGGGAAAGUUUCUCAUCGGCCAAGUUUCAGUUGGACAGAAACUUGGAAUCAUGCAACUUGGUUGCACGAUGAAUGAGAAAUUUCAUAUUUGGAAAUUAGACUAAUUCAUUGACAAAGUGUCAAGUGAAGGACUAGGAGAUCAAGUACACAAAGUUGUGUGUUGAUCAAGUCCACCAUAAGAGUAACAAAGAUAUUCGUCAUGAUUUACUAAAGGUUUAGUAAAUAUGAUUAUACUUAUAAGAUUAAGUGUAAUUCUGAAUUGAUUGAAAAAGUUUAAAUCAAUAGCAGAACGAAUAAGAAGAAUCAAGUAGGCAGAAAGAUAAAAGUUUCUCCAUUCUAAAAAGAAGGGAGAGUACAUUUUAUGCUUUAUGAUAGGUCUUAAUGAUUAAGAACCAUAUCUCAAUUGAUCCUCUAAGUGAGUCUUAGUACAAUUGUAUGUCUAAGAAGAGGAAUCAAGAAUUGAAGAAAUGGUUAAAUCAAGAAGUCAAUCAUACUUCGUUCCAAAACAAGUCUUAGAGUUAAGAUUGUGACAUUGAGUGAUAAGUAUUAAGAAGGUUUAUAAUAUUCAUCAAAUAUGGAAAGUUGUGAUGUCUUGGAUAAGACAAAGACCAACUAG
rnacentral:lncRNA from 1 species